GCAGUCCCCGGCGAGCCACCAGGUUCUGGUAGUACCUAUUGUCGAACCAAACUGGGGUCUGCAGGUCCAGCGGCGCCAAGUUGCCGUCGCCGCCGAAGGCCGGGCAGGUCUGCCUGCGGAGAGCCGCGAAGCCGGGGUCGAUGUUCCGGUCACCGUAGAUGCGCGGGCGGAAGUUGACGCACCGGGCUUGGCCGACGGUGUGCGCGCCGGAGAGAGCGGUCAGGUCGCGGGCGUCGAGGCCUUUCCUGGCGAAGAGAGAGAUGAGGUCGGAGAGGCUCGACGAGGCCAACGGAAGGUUGGCGUUUGCGGCGAAUAUGCUCGCCGUCCUCGCGUCCCUGCGGCCCAGCGGCACCAACCAUGUUGGUCCUCC
rnacentral:lncRNA from 1 species